rnacentral:rRNA from 1 species
AAAGCUUGCUUUCCAGGCGACGAGUGGCGGACGGGUGAGUAAUACAUAGGAAUCUGCCCAGUAGCGGGGGACAACCUGGUGAAAACCAGGCUAAUACCGCAUACGCCCCCUGGUUUAAUCACUGGGGGGGAAAGCGGGGGACCUUCGGGCCUCGCACUAUUGGAUGAGCCUAUGUCUGAUUAGCUAGUUGGUAGGGUAAAAGCCUACCAAGGCGACGAUCAGUAGCUGGUCUGAGAGGAUGAUCAGCCACACUGGGACUGAGACACGGCCCAGACUCCUACGGGAGGCAGCAGUGGGGAAUAUUGGACAAUGGGCGCAAGCCUGAUCCAGCAAUGCCGCGUGUGUGGAGAAGGCCUGAGGGUUGUAAAGCACUUUCAAUUGUGAAGAAAAGUUUAAGGCUAAUAACCUUAAACCGUGACGUUAACUUUAGAAGAAGCACCGGCUAACUCCGUGCCAGCAGCCGCGGUAAUACGGAGGGUGCGAGCGUUAAUCGGAAUUACUGGGCGUAAAGCGUGCGUAGGUGGCUUGGUAAGUCGGAUGUGAAAGCCCUGGGCUCAACC